rnacentral:lncRNA from 1 species
CUCUGUAAGUAGGUAUGGGUACAAGUUGUGCGUCUCCCAACUGCAUGGAGCUGUUUAGAAUCCCAGCACUGGAGUCCUCUCAGCUACCCAAACUGAGAUUUUCCCUCUGUGAAUAUUGUUGAGCUCUUCCCGAGCAAGACCAAAGGGCCUCUUUUUGCCUAUGAAGUCUCUGUCAGACCUGCGAGUAUUUCUGAAAACCAGUUCCUGCCCUUCCUGGCUCAUGACCACUCGUUCCUGCUCCCAAACCUCAGUUUACUGCUCCAUCAGUUGUGCCAAUAUAAAACCUCAGUGGGGAGACUUACCCGUGCUGCAUUCCAUCAGGCCCACCUGUAAAGUUACCUUGAAGUGGACCGGUUCUGGCCUGAAGAUCCUAUGGCUUCCUUACCAUGGCUCUGAGCCUGAGUUAAGCUGUGCUGAGCAAGCGCAUAUGUCUCUAUACCAGAACUACUUCAGACGACAGGAAAAAGGAUAUGUCCUCUGGGGAAGGCUGAACACCUCCUUUGUGAUAGCUACAAAUGCUUUGUUUUAAAUUGGAACUAUGAAUUCUAAGAGAUUUUCAAAUUGAUGGACUUAGGUGGAGAAUGGAGCAUGUGUUAGAGGAGUUUAUCCUGGAAAAAAAAGUCCACUGUUUAUUUAUAUCAUAAAGCUUGUUGGCUUGUGCUGUAUCGACUUCAGAUCUUUGUUAAUCCUGUCAUCCUCAGAAGUUUGGGCAUUUUUUGUUGUGAAGGGACUAUAGACAAAAUACCGUAUAUUUAUUUAAAAUAGUUUCCAUUUAAUGACACCACAGUGAAUGUCAGUGGAAGGACAAAGAAGUUAUUUUCACCAUAAACUUUUUGCUUUACACUUUACACAGCUCAGAUGAUGCGAAUGGAAGAGCCUGUUGUACGUUCUGGUGCUGGUCAUUCAUGCAGUGAUGCUGUGAAGUUAACAGGAGUUCUGGUUCCUUUGUAGUUCUCAGCAUCAGACCCACUGCAUGUGGCAGUAUUUCAGUCCCAAGCAAAAUUUAUUUGAAUUUGAGAUAAAUUUAAUUAGGCUCAUUUAUAGUGAUAAAAGAUUUUGUAAAUAUAGGUCUGAUUUGAAAUGAUGAACCUCAGCUGAUCCAAAAUUUUGCUCUUUCAAUAGCUGCCAAUAUAGACAGCAGUCAGAGUUCAAACUGAAAGAAUUACUAUCACAUCACACUCGUGCUGUCUUUGGUUAUGUACACUGCUGCACUUCGCAAAAUGGACUGCCUAAGCAUGUAUUUUGUAUACUCAUUACUGGGCUCCUACUUUAUAAACUCAAAUAAAAUGUAGAGUACCUCUGAAUCA